GUGCAAACUCGAUCACUAGCUCUGCAUGAUGUGGUAGAAGCUAAGGGAACCAGGUUUGCUAAAGUAAUUGUGGUGAUAGGACUGUAUUAGCCUUAGAAGCUACUGGAGUAGUUCGUUCUAUGCUCAUAUAGUU
ensembl:snoRNA SNORA66 Small nucleolar RNA SNORA66